GUUGCGGUUAAAAAGCUCGUAGUUGGAUUUCUGCCGAGGACGACCGGUCCGCCCUCUGGGUGAGUAUCUGGCUCGGCCUGGGCAUCUUCUUGGAGAACGUAGCUGCACUUGACUGUGUGGUGCGGUAUCCAGGACUUUUACUUUGAAAAAAUUAGAGUGUUCAAAGCAGGCUAUUGCUUGAAUACAUGAGCAUGGAAUAAUGGAAUAAGACUUUGGUCCCAUUUUGUUGGUUUCUAGGGCCGAAGUAAUGAUUAAGAGGGACAAUUGGGGGCAUCCGUAUUUCGUUGUCAGAGGCGAAAUUCUUGGAUUUACGAAAGACGAACAACUGCGAAAGCACUUGCCAAGAGUGUUUUCAUUAAUCAAGAACGAAAGUUAGAGGAUCGAAGACGAUCAGAUACCGUCCUAGUUCUAACCAUAAACGAUGUCGACUAGGGAUCAGCGGGUGUUAUCGUACGACU
rnacentral:rRNA from 1 species